CCUACGGGAGGCAGCAGUGGGGAAUCUUCCGCAAUGGGCGAAAGUCUGACGGAGCAACGCCGCGUGAUCGAAUGAAGUCCUUCGGGUUGUAAAGAUCUGUUGUCUGGGACGAAUAUGCAAUGCGAAUAGUUUUGUGUAUGACGGUACCUGUUUAGAAUGCUCUGGCUAACUACGUGCCAGCAGCCGCGGUAAUACGGAGGGAGCAAGCGUGGUCCGGAUUUACUGGGCGUAAAGGGAGCGUAGGUGGGCGCUUAAGUCAGGUGUGAAACCUCCGGGCUCAACCUGGAGACUGCACUUGAAACUGGGAGUCUUGAGGGCAGGAGAGGAAAGUGGAAUUCCUAGUGUAGCGGUGAAAUGCGUAGAUAUUAGGAAGAACACCAGUGGCGAAGGCAACUUACUGGACUGUACCUGACGCUGAGGCGCGAAAGCGUGGGUAGCAAACAGGAUUAGAUACCCCUGUAGUC
rnacentral:rRNA from 1 species